UACGAAGGGGGCUAGCGUUGCUCGGAAUCACUGGGCGUAAAGGGUGCGUAGGCGGGUCUUUUAAGUCAGGGGUGAAAUCCUGGAGCUCAACUCCAGAACUGCCCUUGAUACUGAGGAUCUUGAGUUCGGGAGAGGUGAGUGGAACUGCGAGUGUAGAGGUGAAAUUCGUAGAUAUUCGCAAGAACACCAGUGGCGAAGGCGGCUCACUGGCCCGAUACUGACGCUGAGGCACGAAAGCGUGGGGAGCAAACAGG
rnacentral:rRNA from 1 species